AACGUAGGAGGCGAGCGUUAUCCGGAUUUACUGGGCGUAAAGCGUGUGCAGGUGGUUUGGUAAGUUGGAUGUGAAAGCUCCCGGCUUAACUGGGAGAGGUCGUUCAAUACUACCAGACUUGAGUGUGGAAGAGGGAGGUGGAAUUCCGGGUGUAGUGGUGAAAUGCGUAGAUAUCCGGAGGAACACCAGUGGCGAAAGCGGCCUCCUGGUCCAUAACUGACACUCAUACACGAAAGCUAGGGGAG
rnacentral:rRNA from 1 species